UGGCCCCCGGGAACCGGGCGCUGUCUCGGGGGUGGGGGGCCCCGCGGGGGAGACCCUGACUUAGGCCCGAGGGGCCACAGACACCCAGGGCUGAGUGGGCCAAGCCUGGGCGGAGCCGAAUAAUGGAGUGAUUUGCCCGUCGCCCUGAUUUGAAGGGCGUGUGGAAUUAUUGCACAGGCUCCUUGGAGAGUUUCUGCACCGAGAAAACGUCUGUCGAGGUCUCGCCGUUGGCGUCGUGCUCUAAGGCAGCGGCUGAACCUCACACAUUUUACUUCCAGGCGCCCCCAGCAGGGUCUGCACGGCUAUGGGGUCUGGGAUUAGCCUUCAGGAGGGGCGCCCGCCCCCUUACACUCAUUUCCCGCUCGCGAUUUCUGGUCGGUUGAGGCUUGGCCCCCCUUGAACCAGCAGAGCAGAUACGGUGACAUUUGUGCAAGCUCCGCGCUGUCCCGUGGGGCUGGAGGGGCACAGUUCCCCUGUGGAAGGCUCGGGCUGGCAAAUGUCCGUGACGAGUACAAGGUAUGUUUGGGUGGAGGUUUAAGCGCUGUGUCAAGUGCGUAAAAUCAGCGUUAACCACAGUGGGAGGCGGACGAUGUUUCUGGGUGUCUGAAAUGAAAGGGACACGCGAGACGAAGCUCUGAAGUGUUUUCAUCGAGAAAGAGUUUGUGCUCUACAUAGGGAGGAGUUAGAGGGUCCCACGCAUGACUCUAUCGGGAAGACCGAGGGAGGGCGGGCGGGAUGAUCUUAAGACCCAGAGUCACACAGGUGUGUGAUCGCCGGCCGGACUUCGUCAGCCUGCGGCCGGGAUGGUCCCCGGGGCCCACCUCCCCUCCCUGUGCUCGGCGAGUAUUUCAUGGCCCGAGGAGUCAGGAUGGCCAGAUUAGCCAGGAAAGCCUGGCCAGAUGCCCAGUAGGGUCCCCUUGGGUGACAGAACCUGGAAGGAUUGGCCCAGCGCCCGCGUAACGUGGCUUUCAUCCUUUCUAGAAACUCUCAAAUAUACAUAAUUUUUUAAAUCCGGAAGUUGUGGACAAUGGCUACGACUGCAGCUGCGCUCGCUAGGAGCCAGGAGCGCCCCUGUUUUAAGCAGAGGCUUUCGGAGGGGCCCCUGAGAUACUUGGAAUGUGCCCUGGCGGACACCCAAGGGGCCGUCCCUGUGAGCGGCCCCGGUGUGGCCGUUAGCACAGACCUGCUCUCUGGGCCCUGGAAAGGCGUCGGCGGUUUGUCCCAUCUCACCUGUCUGAAGGCCUGCUUGGGCUGGGAGACCCCCUUCCAUGGCAGAUGGUGGCCGUGGGCAGGAGGCCACAGUUCCUCGCCACGUGGACCCAUCACAGGACUAGUUAGCGUCCUCGUCACUGGGCAGCUGGCCUCGCCCACAGAGAGCGAGCCCGGACAAACAAGGCCGAAGGAAGCCCAGCACCCUUCCGACUCAGCCACGCUGUCCUUUCUGCCAAGUCCUGUUGGUCACACAAGCGAGCCAUCUUCACGCAGAGAAGCGCGACCAGCCCUUUCGAAAGAGCGGACGUUGGUGAGGGACCCUCCCUCCCUCGUCAUCCUGGGCGUAUGAGGUGUGGCUUUGAUCUGUCCCCUCCGAAUCCGGCUCUGAUUAACCGACUGAAGAAAGGAAGCAGACCGAGGUGACCAGGCGGCUCCCAGAACCAACCGGAAGGCUGGAGAAGCGGCUCGGAGAAGGGGCAGGAGCCCCGGGCCGGACCACCGGAGACUCUAGAGCAAGGCCGCGGCCUGCGACCGUGGCCACUGCUGCCGCUGGACCCUCCCUGUGGCCUCUGUGCUCCUCAGUUCUCACACACCGUGGGUGGAUGGCUCGAGUGUCCCUAAGCAUCAGCGUCCCGGGGGGGCUGACCGUUGGAGCCUGUGCCGCCCCCGCCAGGUGCCAGCAAAGAUGGAGGCCAGGCCGCCGAGGGAGACCCCCAACAGCAGGCGUUCACUCUCCCUGGUUCAUCCUGACUCAAGGUGACUUCGGUCUCCCCGAAUACCCAGAAUUACAAUGUGAAUGUAUUCCUGGAAAGUUAUGUUAAUUUGAGUCCUGGUUUAUAGACACUGGCUAAGUUUAAUACCUUUCAGAAAUCUGUGGAUAAUCCUUUUGUAAAGCAGCUAAUCCUUUUAGAGAACAAAUAAUCACUUCUUAACCAAUUUUUUUUUUUUUGUAAGGAUCAGGACUCUAGAUAGCAGGCUUUCUCACGGCGGAGCAUCCCACACUGGCUCCUCUGUUACUCUCAGGGAGAGAAUGUUCUAGCUUUGCAGAUACCUGCGCGCAGCGUCUCACGCUGCAUGAAAAACAACAGAACACUGAGGAGUUUUUAUUUCUUUCUUCCCCGUGAUUGUCUUCUGGAAAGAAGUACAGGCUAUUAAACAACGCUAAGAGCAUGUAUUUGUUUCAUUCCUGCCUGCAAGGGCGUUCGAAUCUGUGCGCAUUUAGCAGUGGGUGAGCGGAGAACAAGCAUUCCCUGUGUCAUUGGUGAGCCGCAUUUCACCAGGAGCACAUUCGCCAUCGACGCUGGCUUUUUCCCUCCUGAGAGGCAUUCACAUCACAGCACAAAUGUUUUGUCUCACUUCCUAGAGUUGCUUUCACGUUGCCUGGCUAACGGGGUGCAGAGAGCCGAGGCCACAAGGUGGGCGUGAGCCUGGACGUGGCGGGCCGGUCCGAGAGGCAGCGUCUCUGCUGUUCGUGGCCUGUGACGGCUUCUGUGUCUCCAGAAUAGUCUGGUGGCCGUGGAGGGCUGAGCAACCAGAAGCAGACAGGGAGCCCAGUCAGGGAGCGGCGGUCCUAAUCCAAUAUGAGAUUGAGAGAGACAGAAACAGAGACGGAAGAAGAGACAGGCUAGUAAUAGCUGCCGUCCAGACGUCUCUGUGUGUCAGGCACGUUCCUAGCUCUUCCAUCUUUACCCACAGAGGGACCGUAAGAGGCGGCAGGCAGCACAUUGCAGUGGCCUCACCGUGGGCAUGUUCCCACUCACCUCGAGGGAGUGAGACGUCGGAGGGCCGGAGGGUGUCGAUGUCUCAGGUCGUCUACUUCGGCUCCGUCUUCCCCUGGCACAGGACCCCCAGGCGUCAUCGGUUGGCACUGCGUGAGGCACUGGCUUCUCUUUUCAGGCACUGCGUUGUUCAAAAGCACAUUCCUUUGGCUACUAGACUCAUACCCUUGUGGCAAGAUGCCCCCUCUGAGAGGGCACAGGAGGAAACUGGACUCUCUAAUUUUCUCAGGUUUAGUGCGUGCAAGACGUCAGCCCAUUCUGUGCUUAGCAAAACCGAGGCUCGGAGGAGUCACACGAGUCGUUCAGGGCCAUGUAACUGGAAGGUGGCAGCCUGGGACCCAAGGCCCGGUUUGUCGGCUUCCCUAAGCAGGGUGGGUGUCUCGCCAGCCCUGGACAGCCGCUGCACGAGGAAGGAGCAGGACCUCGGCGGAGACACACCUGGGAGUCCAGGAGGCUUGUCCUGUGCCACCUGUUGUUCCAACUGUGAUUCUGAGAUGAUCGCAUCUUUGGAUAAAAUACGUGGCUAAACAAAAUAUAGUAACUCACGUUUUUGA